AUUGAACGCUGGCGGCAGGCCUAACACAUGCAAGUCGAGCGGAUGAAGGGAGCUUGCUCCUGGAUUCAGCGGCGGACGGGUGAGUAAUGCCUAGGAAUCUGCCUGGUAGUGGGGGAUAACGUCCGGAAACGGGCGCUUAUACCGCAUACGUCCUGAGGGAGAAAGUGGGGGAUCUUCGGACCUCACGCUAUCAGAUGAGCCUAGGUCGGAUUAGCUAGUUGGUGGGGUAAAGGCCUACCAAGGCGACGAUCCGUAACUGGUCUGAGAGGAUGAUCAGUCACACUGGAACUGAGACACGGUCCAGACUCCGACGGGAGGCAGCAGUGGGGAAUAUUGGACAAUGGGCGAAAGCCUGAUCCAGCCAUGCCGCGUGUGUGAAGAAGGUCUUCGGAUUGUAAAGCACUUUAAGUUGGGAGGAAGGGCAGUAAGUUAAUACCUUGCUGUUUUGACGUUACCAACAGAAUAAGCACCGGCUAACUUCGUG
rnacentral:rRNA from 1 species